UUGCAAACCAGAUCACUGGCUCUGCCCCCCAUUGCAGAAGUGAGGGGAAUAGGUUUGCUAAAUUAAACUGCUGUGUGGACUAAAAGGCAGUAGAAAACAUUUUCACUGCUUGUUACUACCCAGCACAAAC